CGCACGGUAGGGGAGCCUGGUCGUCCCGCGAGUUUCAUACGCUCGAGAUCGCAAGUUCAAAUCUUGCCCGCGCAACCA
rnacentral:tRNA from 1 species